GACGAACGCUGGCGGCGUGCUUAACACAUGCAAGUCGAGCGGUAAGGCCCUUUCGGGGGUACACGAGCGGCGAACGGGUGAGUAACACGUGGGUGACCUGCCCUCAGCUCUGGGAUAAGCCUGGGAAACUGGGUCUAAUACUGGAUAUGACUCCACGGUGCAUGUCGUGGGGUGGAAAGCCUUGUGCGGCUGAGGAUGGGCCCGCGGCCUAUCAGCUUGUUGGUGGGGUGAUGGCCUACCAAGGCGACGACGGGUAGCCGGCCUGAGAGGGCGACCGGCCACACUGGGACUGAGACACGGCCCAGACUCCUACGGGAGGCAGCAGUGGGGAAUCUUGCGCAAUGGGCGAAAGCCUGACGCAGCGACGCCGCGUGAGGGAUGACGGCCUGGU
rnacentral:rRNA from 1 species